GAUGAAGGAGAAGAAGCUGCUG
rnacentral:sRNA from 1 species